AGUGAACGCUGGCGGUAGGCCUAACACAUGCAAGUCGAACGGCAGCACAGUAAGAGCUUGCUCUUACGGGUGGCGAGUGGCGGACGGGUGAGGAAUACAUCGGAAUCUACUUUUUCGUGGGGGAUAACGUAGGGAAACUUACGCUAAUACCGCAUACGACCUACGGGUGAAAGCAGGGGAUCUUCGGACCUUGCGCGAUUGAAUUAGCCGAUGUCGGAUUAGCUAGUUGGCGGGGUAAAGGCCCACCAAGGCGACGAUCCGUAGCUUGUCUGAGAGGAUGAUCAGCCACACUGGAACUGAGACACGGUCCAGACUCCUACGGGAGGCAGCAGUGGGGAAUAUUGGACAAUGGGCGCAAGCCUGAUCCAGCCAUACCGCGUGGGUGAAGAAGGCCUUCGGGUUGUAAAGCCCUUUUGUUGGGAAAGAAAAGCAGCAGGUUAAUACCCCGCUGUUCUGACGGUACCCAAAGAAUAAGCACCGGCUAACUUCGUG
rnacentral:rRNA from 1 species